GAUGAAGAACGCAGCGAAAUGCGAUACGUAGUGUGAAUUGCAGAAUUCCGUGAACCAUCAAAUCUUUGAACGCAUAUUGCGCUCGAGGCUUCGGCCGAGAGCAUGUCUGCCUCAGCGUCGGUAUUACCCCUCGCUUCUCAACCCCUGGUUGAUGCCUGCCUGCCUUUGCAGUUGGCUAGAAGCGGAUCUGGCUUUCCCAAUUGCCUUUGGUAGUUGGGUCAGCUGAAGCACAGAGGCUUGAGCAAGGACCCUUAUUGGGCUUCAACUGGAUAGGUAGAACUGGUCUUAGGACCAACUACACGAAGUUGUUGCUUGUGGUCUUUGUCUGGAGGCCAGCAGGAGACCUUUAUACCUUCGACCUGAGCUCAGGCAAGAUUACCCGCUGAACUUAAGCAUAUCAAUAAGCGGAGGA
rnacentral:misc_RNA from 1 species